rnacentral:rRNA from 1 species
GUGGGGAAUAUUGCACAAUGGGGGAAACCCUGAUGCAGCGACGCCGCGUGAGUGAAGAAGUAUUUCGGUACGUAAAGCUCUAUCAGCAAGGAAGAAAAUGACGGUACUUGACUAAGAAGCCCCGGCUAACUACGUGCCAGCAGCCGCGGUAAUACGUAGGGGGCAAGCGUUAUCCGGAUUUACUGGGUGUAAAGGGAGCGUAGGUGGUAUGGCAAGUCAGAUGUGAAAGCCCGGGGCUCAACCCCGGGACUGCAUUUGAAACUGUCAGACUAGAGUGCAGGAGAGGUAAGUGGAAUUCCUAGUGUAGCGGUGAAAUGCGUAGAUAUUAGGAGGAACACCAGUGGCGAAGGCGGCUUACUGGACUGUAACUGACACUGAGGCUCGAAAGCGUGGGGAGCAAACAGGAUUAGAAACCCGGGUAGUCC